rnacentral:misc_RNA from 1 species
AACGCAUAUUGCGCUCUCUGGUAUUCCGGGGAGCAUGCCUGUUUCAGCAUCAUUUGAACAUCUCAAAAUCAUAAUUUUUUUUUUGAUUUUGGACUUUGGGCUUUCUUGUUGAGUAUUUGAUUACCCAACUGGCCUGAAAUUUGUGUUUUAAAUAAUGCAAGAAAUGUGUAGAUGCUUUGUUGGCUGAGACGAAAAGCUAAUUAGUUGACUGUGGUCAAACUUGCUGACUAGUCUUUCUUGACUUGGCAAAGCUACAUCCACAAAUUGAUCUGAAAUCAGGUAGGAUUACCCGCUGAACUUAA